GGGCCAUUAGCUCAGUUGGCAGAGCACUUGACUUUUAAUCAAGUUGUCCGGGGUUCGAAUCUCCGAUGGCUCACCA
rnacentral:tRNA from 1 species